rnacentral:rRNA from 1 species
UACGGAGGGGGCGAGCGUUAUUCGGAAUUAUUGGGCGUAAAGGGCGCGUAGGCGGCCCGGUAAGUCAAAGGUGAAAUCCCUCGGCUCAACUGAGGAACUGCCUUCGAAACUGUCGGGCUUGAGGCCGGGAGGGGGUAGCGGAAUUCCCAGUGUAGCGGUGAAAUGCGUAGAUAUCAGGAGGAACACCGAUGGCGAAGGCAGUUCUCUGGGCCGUAACUGACGCUGAGGAGCGAAAGCGUGGGGAGCGAACAGG